UGGGGAAUNAUUNGCGCAAUGGGGGGAACCCUGACGCAGCCAUGCCGCGUGAAUGAAGAAGGCCUUAGGGUUGUAAAGUUCUUUCGGUAUUGAGGAAGGUUGAUGUGUUAAUAGCACAUCAAAUUGACGUUAAAUACAGAAGAAGCACCGGCUAACUCCGUGCCAGCAGCCGCGGUAAUACGGAGGGUGCGAGCGUUAAUCGGAAUAACUGGGCGUAAAGGGCACGCAGGCGGUUAUUUAAGUGAGGUGUGAAAGCCCUGGGCUUAACCUAGGAAUUGCAUUUCAGACUGGGUAACUAGAGUACUUUAGGGAGGGGUAGAAUUCCACGUGUAGCGGUGAAAUGCGUAGAGAUGUGGAGGAAUACCGAAGGCGAAGGCAGCCCCUUGGGAAUGUACUGACGCUCAUGUGCGAAAGCGUGGGGAGCAAACAGGAUUAGAUACCCUGGUAGUCCACGCUGUAAACGCUGUCGAUUUGGGGGUUGGGGUUUAACUUUGGCGCCCGUAGCUNACGUGAUAAAUCGACCGCCUGGGGAGUACGGCCGCAAGGUU
rnacentral:rRNA from 1 species